UUCGAAGGACCCGGUCUACGUGGGCUGUGUCCUUUGUCGACCGCUAAAACCAGCGCCAUAGAAAGAGAAAGGGUCCUUCUAUGGCGCUGGCUAAAACCACGGAGGCCGGAAGUGAGCAGCUGCGGAAUGGGACGGUCUAGCCUUUACCAGCUGUUCCCACCCUCACCUCAGCGUAACAACUGUCGCCUAGCAACCGUAGCUGCGAGGAGAAAAAAGCAGUUAAAGCAAAAUGGAGCCGAACUUCUGGUAGUUUUAUUUUUAAUUUUUGAGGAACUUCAGCAGUUUUAUCGUCGUCGCAGACAUCUCCUUUAUUUUAUCUCCGGCUGAGAGACAAUCAUGCUCAGGAACUUAAGGACCCCCCCAACUGGAAUAGGAGUGGACUCUUGAAGUGUAACUGUUGCCACCUGGCAGUGGUACAGUUUAAUGGAUGCUGCACUACAGGAGCAGCACUCAAUCAGCCCACCCCUGAUAGUUGCUGCAGACGUGACUCCUACUUCAGGUGGCACAGACACUACCAAGGCCUCUCCCCCUUCGAUCGGCAGAGGAGGAGGAACGCAGGGCAGGAAAAAACCAAAGGAACAGCGAGGCUGUCCUGGCCAUUUUAAAGGAACAGGCAGAAAGGGAUGAGAAGAGAGAGAAAGACCCACUAGGUAGAGAUGAAUGAUGGGAAAAAGCUGCCAUUGCACGGGCUGAUAUAUACCUGUAAUUAUUUGAAAAGCUUGUUGUAAAUUUGUAAAUAAAACCCGCUAGAUUUCGAAUUUUCA